rnacentral:lncRNA from 1 species
AAGGGGCAAAUGCACCGGGGCUUGCCUGGGAUUAAACACUAUUAAGUCAGUGUUUGUUAAACGAGAUUUGCUUGUCGGUCAUCUCCCAUCUGGGUACUCGAUAUAUCCAUCCAUCUCGAACUUGGUCCGUUGACAUCGUCUCUCGAAGUAAUCCACCCUUUGCAUCACCUUGAGGUCGACUCGGCUCUCGUCCUCCGCAUCACGUGAUCACUAACGUACUCUGAUGAGAUGCAUAAUGCACAUGUAUGAACAUAAGGAAGAAUAACAUAAGAUAUUAUGAUGCUACGCAAUAGAGAAUUAAGUACGUAAUGGUGAGGCGUUGCAAUACUUAUGAGAGAACACUAGACAUUGACAUAGCAUUAAAUACAACAUCCACGCCCCUCUAGUUUAAUUGAACCGAACUCACAUAUCAAGAAACAUAUAAAUUAUAGCAUGUUCUAUAUUUUUCAUAGCUAAAGCACGAUACAUAAAAGGCUAACACAAUUAGGUUCACCAAAAGCGGACCUCUAAAACUCAGAGUAUGGAUAGAAACAAGCUAAUCUGUUUCAACUAUUAUUUUCAGACGACUAUGCACAGCACGCCAACUAAAAUCAGUUUGACGAUGCUACACGCUUUUAACAUUUGGACCAGCAGCUAACAUCUAGUUUAGACAUUUAACCGGUCGCUAAACGUAGUAGAUAACAACGACUGGAGUAGAGCAUUGACAUUAUUAUACAAACAAAAAUCACUUCAAAAUACCAACUCGCCACUGCUUCAAAGGUUAGAACAAGACCACAACACAUCUAAGCUACCGACGAGAAUGAUCACGAUUAAUAUCCAUUCAAUCCAUUCAUUAAACUAAUUAGCAAGAGUAGCAAGCCAAAGUAUUAUUACCAAAUCAAUUAGAAAUCCGUGAACGCGGCGACAACACCUGGCUCAUUUUUUUAUUUUUGUCGAACACCUGGCGGACGUUGCGGGACUUCGCUUGCUUUAUCGACACACACAAAUCGCUCCACACCGGAUGCAGUAGCAAGGUGAUGACGAGACGAACUGCAAGGAACAACAACAUAUGACGCGGUUGCAAGGAUGACUUCGUGCCGAAGUGGUUCAAAACGAAGACGAC